rnacentral:misc_RNA from 1 species
CCAAUAGCGUAUAUUAAAGUUGUUGCAGUUAAAAAGCUCGUAGUUGAAUUUCGGGACCAAUCUGCCGGUCGUGCCUCUGGUACGCACUGGUUUUAUUGGUUUCUCCCUUCUGACGAACCAUAAUGUCAUUAAUUUGGUGUCAUGGGGAAUCAGGACUGUUACUUUGAAAAAAUUAGAGUGUUUAAAGCAGGCUCACGCUUGAAUACAUUAGCAUGGAAUAAUGAAAUAGGACGUUUGACCCUAUUUUGUUGGUUUCUAGGAUCGACGUAAUGAUUAAUAGGGAUAGUUGGGGGCAUUAGUAUUCAAUUGUCAGAGGUGAAAUUCUUGGAUUUAUUGAAGGCUAACUACUGCGAAAGCAUUUGCCAAGGAUAUUUUCAUUAAUCAAGAACGAAAGUUAGGGGAUCGAAGACGAUCAGAUACCGUCGUAGUCUUAACCAUAAACUAUGCCGACUAGGGAUCGGAUGAUGUUAAUUUUUUAAUGACUCAUUCGGCGCCUUACG